CCGAUGCUUAUUCUUCAGGUACACGUCAUUUUGUUCCUCCCUGAAAAAAGAGGUUCACAACCCAUAGGCCGUCAUCCCUCACGCGAGAUUGCUCCGUCAGGCUUUCGCCCAUUGCGGAAAAUUCCCC
rnacentral:rRNA from 1 species